rnacentral:rRNA from 1 species
AGAGUUUGAUCCUGGCUCAGGAUGAACGCUAGCGACAGGCUUAACACAUGCAAGUCGAGGGGCAGUGGGGAAGUAGCAAUACUUCCGCCGGCGACCGGCGCACGGGUGAGUAACACGUAUGGAACCUGCCCGUAGCAGGGGGAUAAGCGGAAGAAAUUCCGUCUAAUACCGCGUAAUAACUCCGAGAGGCAUCUCAUGGAGUUUAAAGGGUAACACCGGCUACGGAUGGCCAUGCGGCGCAUUAGCUAGUUGGCGGGGUAACGGCCCACCGAGGCGACGAUGCGUAGGGGUUCUGAGAGGAAGGUCCCCCACACUGGUACUGAGACACGGACCAGACUCCUACGGGAGGCAGCAGUGAGGAAUAUUGGUCAAUGGGCGCGAGCCUGAACCAGCCAAGUCGCGUGAGGGAAGACGGUCCUAUGGAUUGUAAACCUCUUUUGUCGGGGAGCAAAAGACGUCACGUGUGGCGUUCCGAGAGUACCCGAAGAAAAAGCAUCGGCUAACUCCGUGCCAGCAGCCGCGGUAAUACGGAGGAUGCGAGCGUUAUCCGGAUUUAUUGGGUUUAAAGGGUGCGCAGGCGGAAGAUCAAGUCAGCGGUAAAAUUGAGAGGCUCAACCUCUUCCCGCCGUUGAAACUGAUUGUCUUGAGUGGGCGAGAAGUAUGCGGAAUGCGUGGUGUAGCGGUGAAAUGCAUAGAUAUCACGCAGAACUCCGAUUGCGAAGGCAGCAUACCGGCGCCCAACUGACGCUGAAGCACGAAAGCGUGGGUAUCGAACAGGAUUAGAUACCCUGGUAGUCCACGCAGUAAACGAUGAAUACUAAUUGUUCGGGUCAAAUGAGAUCUGAGUGAUACAGCGAAAGCGUUAAGUAUUACACCUGGGGAGUACGCCGGCAACGGUGAAACUCAAAGGAAUUGACGGGGGCCCGCACAAGCGGAGGAACAUGUGGUUUAAUACGAUGAUACGCGAGGAACCUUACCCGGGCUCAAACGACACAGGAAUGAUCUGAGAAAUCAGACAGUCCUUCGGGACCUGUGUCGAGGUGCUGCAUGGUUGUCGUCAGCUCGUGCCGUGAGGUGUCGGCUUAAGUGCCAUAACGAGCGCAACCCCCAUCGACAGUUGCCAGCAGGUGAAGCUGGGCACUCUGUCGAGACUGCCGGCGCAAGCUGUGAGGAAGGCGGGGAUGACGUCAAAUCAGCACGGCCCUUACGUCCGGGGCGACACACGUGUUACAAUGGCAGGUACAGCGGGAAGCCACCUGGCGACAGGGAGCGGAACCCGAAAGCCUGUCUCAGUUCGGAUUGGAGUCUGCAACUCGACUCCAUGAAGCUGGAUUCGCUAGUAAUCGCGCAUCAGCCACGGCGCGGUGAAUACGUUCCCGGGCCUUGCACUCACCGCCCGUCA